UAGGGAAUCUUCCGCAAUGGACGCAAGUCUGACGGAGCAACGCCGCGUGAGUGAAGAAGGAUUUCGGUUCGUAAAACUCUGUUGUUAGAGAAGAACAGCGCAUAGAGUAACUGUUAUGCGUGUGACGGUAUCUAACCAGAAAGCCACGGCUAACUACGUGCCAGCAGCCGCGGUAAUACGUAGGUGGCAAGCGUUGUCCGGAUUUAUUGGGCGUAAAGCGAGCGCAGGCGGUCAAUUAAGUCUGAUGUGAAAGCCCCCGGCUCAACCGGGGAGGGUCAUUGGAAACUGGUUGACUUGAGUGCAGAAGGGGAGAGUGGAAUUCCAUGUGUAGCGGUGAAAUGCGUAGAUAUAUGGACGAACACCAGUGGCGAAGGCGACUCUCUGGUCUGUAACUGACGCUGAGGCUCGAAAGCGUGGGUAGCAAACAGG
rnacentral:rRNA from 1 species